rnacentral:lncRNA from 1 species
UUUAACAAAAUAUCAACAAGAAAAGAUUAAAUUUCGGGAUGCAAAAAAGCAAUUUUGAUGACGUACGACGUGACGAAUUGAUUGACACAGAUAUAUAUCGCGAUAUAUACAUUGACGGGUCUAAAAAGCGACGUUCUAGUUAGGAGCAAAGGCUGCCUACACGACAAUCAUCUCCGAUUCCGUCCGUUAUCGUCGACGAUUCGCAGUCAUCAAAAUGAUUGCACCCGAUUACACGAUUGCGUUAGCGCGUGCGGCAUGCGUUAUCAUCGUAGUUCUCCUCAUACAAGUUUUACGUAGAUACUGCAUCAUCAGCAUCAUCAGCAUCAUCAGCGAAAGAUUUUCUCUUGUUCAUUCACGCUUCUCCACUGCGAUUAUCCUGACAUGAGUGUGUGUCAUCGGCUUCGUUCUGACCUACGACCCCCCCGCGAUAGCACCGACUGAGAUAGCAUGAUCAAAACUCACACUAGUCUUCGCUAAUACGUGAGUAACAAAUCUUUCAAAUAAUCGAAUAGAUUUAGACGUUUUAGAACCUAUCGUCCUGUAAAAUCGUUUUUCCAACUGUUUGUUAAAAAAGAAAAAUCGAAAUUUCUCAAUAAUUUUAAACUUUAUUUACUUAUUUUACAUAAGCGACGUUUAUCAACGUUUUCCUUUUUUCAUAUUAUAAUAAACAAGAAUAGGCAAAGUUUUGUUAAUAAGUUUAAUUGAAAAAAAAGGAAUGUUGAUCUUUUAACAAUUAAAAUCUAGGUUCAUUUAUAAGAAUGUAGGAACUUGUUAUGAAUUUUAACGGUCUUAAUUGAAGCAUCGAAUUAAGGGCAAGAAAAAUUUAGGCCACUUUUCGAAGGCGGCUAGAGAGAUUAAAAAUAAAGAAAACAAUUUAUUUUGACUGUCGACUAUGGUCGGUCUUUACUCGCAAUUGACGAUACGGAAAGAUACGUUUCUUCAAAGUCCGAUAGCGAUUGUAUACAAAAAAGUCACUCUAUCUACAUAUGUCACAUGAGAACUUUCUAACGAUAAGUAGUCCUCCUUUUACUUAUCCAUGGUCAAAUUUCUCGUGAACAUAUUACUCGACGUAAAUACAAAAAUUCUAUUAAUUCUAAUUUUUGUUAUAAUAUAACAUUUAUCACGGUUCAUGGAACAACGAAGUUCAAUGAGAAUUUUAUUAUCCCAUGUUAUGAUUGGAAAAAAUAUAUUUAUAGAAAAAAAAACAAAAAUACUAGUAUAAACGAAUAAUAUUUCAAAUAAUUGAAAACAAAUCAUUAUUGAGAAAUGAACGACAAUUCAUCGGUAAGUAAUACAAUAAAAAUUUAAUUCCGAUGAGUCAUUGAAAAUCCAUAGAAAAUUUCUGGUAGAAUCAGAUGGAAUUCGUUCGUGAUAACAAGGUCCCACGUGUACAGUGAAAAAGAUAGAAAAAGAAAGAAGAGGGAUGAGAACAUCUUUCGAGGGAGCUUUAAUGUCGUCUCAUUAACGAGAAGGAAACUUUCUUCAAGAAGCGACAGCUGCGUCUGAGCAUCAAUUUUGAAGACCUUUCGUUGAUCGACGAAAAGAGAAGAGGAAUGGUUGUUAAACA